rnacentral:rRNA from 1 species
CUUUCAUUCACAUUUAAAUCGCCAGGGAACUACGAGCAAAGCUUAAAACCCAAAGGACUUGACGGUACCCCAUAUCCCCCUAGAGGAGCCUGUCCUAUAAUCGAUAAUCCACGUUCAACCUCACCAUCUUUAGUUAAUCAGCCUGUAUACCUCCGUCGUCAGCUUACCACGUGAGCGCAAAUUAGUGAGCCCAAUGUCACUUCACCAGUACGUCAGGUCAAGGUGCAGCAAAUGAGAUGGGAAGAGAUGGGCUACAUUUUCUAAAAUAGAAAAAACGAAAAACUACCUAUGAAAUCUAGUUAGAAGGCGGAUUUAGCAGUAAAAAGGAAUCAGCAUGACCAUUUUAACAAGGCACUGGGGUGUGUACACACCGCCCGUCACCCUCUUCAAAGCCACUAACACAGUUUUUAACAAAUUAUGCACAAU